CUACGUGCCAGCAGCCGCGGUAAUACGUAUGUCACGAGCGUUAUCCGGAUUUAUUGGGCGUAAAGCGCGUCUAGGUGGUUAUGUAAGUCUGAUGUGAAAAUGCAGGGCUCAACUCUGUAUUGCGUUGGAAACUGUGUAACUAGAGUACUGGAGAGGUAAGCGGAACUACAAGUGUAGAGGUGAAAUUCGUAGAUAUUUGUAGGAAUGCCGAUGGGGAAGCCAGCUUACUGGACAGAUACUGACGCUGAAGCGCGAAAGCGUGGGUAGCAAACAGGAUUAGAUACCCUGGUAGUCCACGCCGUAAACGAUGAUUACUAGGUGUUGGGGGUCGAACCUCAGCGCCCAAGCAAACGCGAUAAGUAAUCCGCCUGGGGAGUACGACCGCAAGGUUGAAACUCAAAGGAAUUGACGGGGGCCCGCACAAGCGGUGGAGCAUGUGGUUUAAUUCGAAGCAACGCGAAGAACCUUACCAGGUCUUGACAUCCC
rnacentral:rRNA from 1 species